UCCUGACCAAUCAGUUCCCUCUGCCAAAACCACAACCACCUAACCAUUGGCUGGAUUGCUCCAUCAAUGAAAUCUCAGGAAUUAUCUCCCCACAUGAGCAAGAGAGGAUAAGGUGGAGAGGGAGUAAGGGAGUAAGAUCAGCAUGCUGCCAGACCACCAAAUAAUCCUUGAGGCCACUGCAUGCUGUGACAGGGGCCUGGAUAGUGACACACAUCUUCUUUAAGCUGCCUGCCUUCAGUGGUACCUUCCUUUUGGUGGGUCAGCAGGUAGCCUAGUUCUUAGAGCGUUGGGCCAGUAACCGAAAGGCUGCUAAAUCAAAUCCCUGAGCUGACAAGGUAAAAAUCUGUCGUUCUGCCCCUGAACAAGGCAGUUAAACCCACUGUUCUUAGGCUGUCAUUGUAAAUAAGAAUUUGUUCUUAACUGACUUGCCUAGUUACAUAUUUUUUUUAAUGAUUACAGAAAGAGUCUCCUUAUCCCUGUUUCGUAGCCAUUUAACAUGUACUGUAUGUAAGCACUUAGAUUCAUAGAAACUGAUACGAACACAAGAACUGACUUAUAUUUUCUUGACCCUGGCUGCUUUUAGACAGGCAACCCAAUUCUGAUAUUUUUCCCACUAAUUGGUCUUUUGACCAAUCACAUCAGAUCUUUUCAAAACUGCUCUUUUUCAGAGCUGAUCUGAUUGGUCAAAAGACCAAUUUGUGAAAAAAAGAUCAGACUUGGGCUGCCUAUCUAAACAUAGCCUAUUUGUCCAAUACUUCAGUCUUGUCUGGGAUAUACAGUACCAGUCAAUACACCUACUCAUUCAAUGUUUUUUUUGUUUUUUUAAACUAUUUUCUACGUUAUCGAAUAAUAGUGAAGACAUCAAAACUAUGACAUAACACAUAUGGAAUCAGGUAGUAACCAUAUAAGUGUUAAACAAAUCAAAAUAUAUGUUAUAUUUUAGAUUCUUCAAAGUAGCCACCCUUUGCCUUGAUGACAGCUUUGCACACUCUUGGCAUUCUCUCAACCAGUUUCACCUGGAAUGCUUUUCCAACAGUCUUGAAGGAGUUCCCACAUGUUCUGAGCACUUGUUGGCUGCUUUUCCUUCACUCUGCAGUCCAACUCAUCACAAACCAUUUCAAUUGGGUUGAUGUCGGGUGAUUGUGGAGGCCAGGUUAUUUGAUGCAGCACUCCAUCACUUUUCGUCUUGGUCAAAUAGCCCUUACACAGCCUGGAGGUGUGUUGGGUCAUUGUCCUGUUUACAACAAAAAUGAUAGUGGGACUAAGUGCAAACCGGCUGGGAUGGCGUUUUGCUGCAGAAUGCUGUGGUAGCCAUGCUGGUUAAGUUUGCCUUGAAUUCAAAAUAUAUCACAGACCGUGUCACCAGCAAAGCACCCCCACACCAUCACACCUACUCCUCCAUGCUUCACGGUGGGAUCUACACAUGCAGAGAUCAUCCGUUUACCUACUCUACUUCUCACAAAGACGCAGUGGUUGAAACCAAAAAUCUCAAAUUUGAACUCAUUAGACCAAAGGACAGAUUUCCACCGGUCUAAUGUCCAUUGCUUGUGUUUCUUGGCCCAAGCAAGGCUAUUCUUCUCAUUGGUGUCCUUUAGCGGUGGUUUCUUUGCAGCAAUUUGACCAUGAAGGCCUGAUUCACACAGUCUCCUCUGAACAGUUGAUGUUGAUAUGUGUCUGUUACUUGAACUCUGUGAAGCAUUUAUUUGGGCUGCAUUUUCUGAGGCUGCUAACUCUAAUGAACUUAUCCUUUGCAGCAAAGGUACCUCUGGGUCUUCCUUUCCUGUGGCGGUCCUCAUGAGAGCCAGUUUCAUCAUAGCACUUCAUGUUUUUUGCGACUGCACUCAAAGAAACUUUCAAAGUUCUUGAAAUUUUUCGAAUUAACUGACCUUCAUGUCUUAAACUAAUGAUGGAAUGUCAUUUCUCUUUUCUUAUUUGAGCUGUUCUUGCCAUAAUAUCGACUUGGUCUUUUACCAAAUAGCGCUAUUUUCUGUAUACCACCGCUACCUUGUCACAACAAAACUGAAUGACUAAAACGCAUGAAGAUGGAAAGAAAUUCCACAAAUUAACUUUUAACAAGGCACACCUGUCAAUUUAAAUGCAUUCCAGGUGACUAACUCAUAAAGCUGGUUGAGAGAAUGCCAAGAGUGUGCAAAGCUGUCAUCAAGGCAAAGGGUGGCUACUUUGAAGAAUCUCAAAUAUACAAUACAUUUUGAUUUGUUUAACACUUUUUUUGGUUCCUCCAUGAUUCCAUAUGUGUUAUUUCAUAGUUUUGAUGUCUUCACUAUUAUUCUACAAUGUAGAAAAUAGUUGUUUUUUUUAACCUUCAAUGAGUCGGUGUGUCCAAAUGUUUGACUGGUAC
ensembl:lncRNA